GCUGUAAUGUUCAGAAAUAUAAUUAAAAAGAUGUGGUUGGCACCCAAAGGUGGUAUGCUAAUGCUUCAGUGUCAGUAAAACCACACGAUAGACUGUAAAAAUAAAAAGAAUGAUUUCAUUAUUGGGAUCAAUUGUAAAUAAGCAGAAAAAUCUAGAAAGUGAAAGAAUACCGUGUUAUGGGCAUGCAAUAAAGACUGUCGCUGUUGAUGC
rnacentral:misc_RNA from 1 species